GAUGAACGCUGGCGGCGUGCCUAAUACAUGCAAGUCGAGCGAACAGACGCGGAUCUUGCUCCUCUUACGUUUGCGGCGGACGUGUGUGUAACACGUGGAUAACCUACCUUUAUUUCUGGGAUAACUUCGGGAAACCGGUUCUUAUACCGGAUAACAUUUUUAACCGCAUUGUUCAACAGUGUCAGUCGGUUUUUCUGUCUCUUAUCGCUGGUUCCGCGUCGCAUUAGAUAGUUGGUAAGGUAACGGCUUAUCAAGGCAACGAUGCGUAUCCGACAUGAGAGGGUGAUCGGCCACACUGGAACUGAGACACGGACCAGACUACUACGGGAGGCAGCAGUAGGGAAUCUUCCGCAAUGGGCGAAAGCCUGACGGAGCAACGCCGCGUGAGUGAAGAAGGUCUUCGGAUCGUAAAACUCUGUUAUUAGGGAAGAACAAAUGUGUAAGUAAAAAUGCACGUAUUGACGGUACCUAAUCAGAAAGCAACGGCUAACUACGUG
rnacentral:rRNA from 1 species